rnacentral:rRNA from 1 species
CUACGGGCCGCUGCAGUGGGGAAUAUUGCACAAUGGGCGCAAGCCUGAUGCAGCCAUGCCGCGUGUAUGAAGAAGGCCUUCGGGUUGUAAAGUACUUUCAGCGGGGAGGAAGGGAGUAAAGUUAAUACCUUUGCUCAUUGACGUUACCCGCAGAAGAAGCACCGGCGAACUCCGUGCCAGCAGCCGCGGUAAUACGGAGGGUGCAAGCGUUAAUCGGAAUUACUGGGCGUAAAGCGCACGCAGGCGGUUUGGUAAGUCAGAGUUGAAAUCCCCGGGCUCAACCUGGGAACUGCAUCUGAUACUGGCAAGCUUGAGUCUGGUAGAGGGGGGUAGAAUUCCAGGUGUAGCGGUGAAAUGCGUAGAGAUCUGGAGGAAUACCGGUGGCGAAGGCGGCCCCCUGGACGAAGACUGACGCUCAGGUGCGAAAGCGUGGGGAGCAAACAGGAUUAGAUACCCCGGUAGUC